AUGUACGAAUAUGGUGGAGGCCCAGAUGACUCUCUUCGUCACAGCUCUGUUCAAUUAACUGAAGAAGAUAUUGUUUCAAUGUCAACUCUUCUGGUGAACGGUAAAUACGAAGACUGCAGUAAAGUCGGGUUAAACCCUUUCUGCAAGCUUAACCCAGUGCUAGAGGCCAAAUCUGAUUUCUGGAAAGCCAAGUACGAUCACGAAGCCGCCAAGAAAGCCAGAGCCGCCGCCAUAACCGCCAAGAAGACGACCUGGAGAUCUAAGAAGAAGAAGAAGAAAAGCACCGCUGAAGAUUUGUUGAAGAUUGAUGAUGAUACUUCUGAGUCGGAGGACGACACGGGGGCCAGGCAGGCCGUGGAAGAAGAGCAGCAUGAGAGCCGCCGUCAGGCCCGGAACGACGAUGAACCGCCUCCCGUUCUUCAACAAACUCCUCAAAAACGCCCGAAUGAGGAGGUGUCUCGCUCUUCUGGCGACUCGUCUCAAACUCAAUUCCCGGCCUUUAAGACUGCCCCUGGUGGCCAAGCCAAGUCCAAGAAGGCCAAGGUGACUAGGCCGGUGGAAAACUCGUCAGUCCUUGCAUCUGAACCGGCCAUGCCGCCUUCUCCCUCUCAUACUGAAGCACCAGAAGAGUUGGCCCAUACUCAAUCAGAUCCUCCUAAGCCGUUAGCUGACGAUACCAUCAUCAACCCUUCUGCUACCGGACCAUCCAGCUCAGGCAACCCGCCAUCAUCGUCUGUCCAGGACGUUCUGAUCACUGGAAGCCGCUUUGUUGAGCCGGGGAAUACCACCGUGUUGGCCCGUCAUACUGCUAAACAAGAAGCACUGGAGAGACAGAAAGUGCAUUUUGAUAUUUCUCAUUACAGCCAUCUGAACGCCAAUGACAUAUUGUCCGGCUAUGAGGCCCUCGCCGCCUUCGAGCUCGAGGCCCAUAGGCUGCUGCAGAUCGCCUACGGGGAGGGGUUCGAAGAGCCGCUGGCCACCCCGGAGGAUGGCGUCACCGGGCUCCUAGCUGCGCUCGUGAAGGCCCUGGGCGACAUGGCAUCUGCAAUCGGUCAGUUAGCUGAUACCGAGGGCCGAUCGCUUCUUACCUCCGCCUUGGCGCAGGUGUGCGGCCAUCUCUUCCUUCGUGACCCCAACUUCGACUUGGCCACGCUAUCCCAGCCGCUGGCCGCGAGCCUGGGGGGCGUGGCUGCUGAGUGUGUGGCGGAGAAGGUCAAAGAGCUGGUGGAGGCGUUCCUUCCGGCUACUGCUGAUGCGUCUGAAGAGGUGGAAGCUGAUGCCGGCGCGUCCGACGAUGCCUGA
rnacentral:rRNA from 1 species